GUGUUCUUUUUGCUCACAAUGUAUGUCAGCAGCAGUUCUCUGGAACUGUUCCAGCCACUGAAGUCAACUAUGGUUUUGUUUCAUUAUGCUUGGCACUACCCCAUGAAUUUUCUUUAUUCAAAGAUUCAGACUAAAGCAGAAACCGCUUUAAAACAUGCUGUUCUUUUUAGAAGAGUACCAUCCAAAACAUAAAAUGACUCGAAGUUUCCACUUAGAAUAUGCAUGCAUCACUUCUGCUCAAAUCCCAUUGGGAAAGGACAUUUGGGCAGCAAUGAAGGAAGGAAGGAAGGAAGGAAGGAAGGAAGGAAGGAAGGAAGGAAGGAAGGAAGGAAGGAAGGAAGGCAGGAAAAUAAAUUAUCCAAGAACUGAAACUCACCAGAUCACCACGUCCAUGAGACCCUGGACACCUCAUUCAUCGUUAUUGCUUCCUUGCCCCCUUCCUAGUUUCUGUUUUCUUAUACAUCGUUACAUUUCUUCCCUGCUAUUUAAACCUUAGUUUUGAUCCAUCAGGGAGAUGAAUGUAAGAUUGAGCCCCAUCUCCUCAGCUGCAGCACCGAAUUAAAGUCCUCUUCCUUGGCAAUACUUGUUAUGGCAGUGAUUGGCUUACUGUGCAGUGAGCAAGAGGAUCUAGACCAAAUCCCUGGUGUUUUGGUAACAAUAUCAUCAGAACAUGGACUCUCAAAUAUUCAAAUUUGUUAUUGUUUUCUAUUUUUCACUUAUUGCCCUCUUUUUGAUCAUUUAUCUCACUUUUACUUUGUAUUUAUAAAAGGCUGGAAGCAAAGUAGAGAGGGAAAAAUUACUUAAUUUCUUAAAAUAAUAGCCCUUGUAAUUAUAAUACAGAACAUUGUGGUACUAUAUAUUAGCUAAAACAAAUAUAUCAAUUUAAUAAUUAGAACUAUUUUCAACUUAGUUGCAACUUCUAGCCCAAGAAAAUAGGAGUCAGAAUCAAAAUUCAGCAUGCAGAACUUACUGUAAAACGUGGCAGUACAGGUGGUUUAAAAUGUCUCAUUUUUUGGGGGUACUCUUUGACUUAUAUUUCAGAAUAUAAAUUCUCAGGAGUCAGAAUUUGAC
rnacentral:lncRNA from 1 species